rnacentral:rRNA from 1 species
UACGAGGGGGGCAAAUGUUGUUCGGAAUCACUGGGCGUAAAGGGAGCGUAGGCGGGUUUCUAAGUCAGGUGUUUAAUCCCGGGGCCCAACCCCGGACAGGCACUUGAAACUGGGAAUCUUGAAUAGUGGAGAGGUCAGUGGAAUUGGGGGUGUAGCGGUGGAAUGCGUAGAGAUCCCCAAGAACACCAGUUGCGAAGGCGGCUGACUGGCCCGAUACUGACGCUGAGGCACGAAAGCGUGGGGAGCGAACAGG